UAAUACGAAUGGGGCAAGCGUUGUUCGGAAUCACUGGGCUUAAAGCGUAUGCAGGUGGACUUACAAGUCAGAAGUGAAAGCCCCGGGCUUAACCCGGGAAUUGCUUUUGAAACUGUCAGUCUAGAAUCCCGGAGAGGUUAGUAGAAUUCCGAGUGUAGAGGUGAAAUUCGCAGAUAUUCGGAGGAAUACCAGUGGCGUAAGCGACUAACUGGACGGGCAUUGACACUCAGAUACGAAAGCGUGGGUAGCAAACAGG
rnacentral:rRNA from 1 species